rnacentral:rRNA from 1 species
GACGAACGCUGGCGGCGUGCUUAACACAUGCAAGUCGAACGGUAAGGCCUUCGGGUACACGAGUGGCGAACGGGUGAGUAACACGUGGGUGAUCUGCCCCCUACUCUGGGAUAAGCCUGGGAAACUGGGUCUAAUACCGGAUAUGACCUCCUUCUGCAUGGUUGGUGGUGGAAAGUUUUUUCGGUAGGGGAUGAGCCCGCGGCCUAUCAGCUUGUUGGUGGGGUAAUGGCCUACCAAGGCGACGACGGGUAGCCGGCCUGAGAGGGCGACCGGCCACACUGGGACUGAGACACGGCCCAGACUCCGACGGGAGGCAGCAGUGGGGAAUAUUGCACAAUGGGCGAAAGCCUGAUGUAGCGACGCCGCGUGGGGGAUGACGGCCUUCGGGUUGUAAACCCCUUUCAGUCGGGACGAAGCGAGAGUGACGGUACCGAUAGAAGAAGCACCGGCCAACUACGUGCCAGCAGCCGCCGCGGUAA